CGUUACAUAUGUUGCAAGAAACUCCCCAAUUAGGCGUUCCUGUCGUGAAUAGUCAACCAAUCAGAAGGAGCUUUGCACUGCAUUCUGGGAAAUGCUUAAUUUCCGGAGUUUGACUUCCUUUUAUCAGUUUGUAAAAGUCCCCUGAAGUCCUCGUCGAAGCCACGGAGAAUUACGGAGAAGCUACGAUAGCAGAGAAAUUGCAGCUAAACCGAUGAGACUUACAUUCUUCCAUACUGUCUAGCGGUCAGAAGCCGCAAUUACGAAGUUGUUUAGACCCAGGAUGCACGCUGCUCCACUGCCCUUUCUGCCCAGAGUACAAGGGUGACUAUGCCAGGGUGGAAACGCACAUGCAGAGCCAUUUGAAAACGGUGGUACAUUAUGGAGGUAUGUAUGAGAUUGAUAGUUAAGCCCUUAGCCCUGUAUCAUGGUCUUCUAUGAAACUGUAUGGAUUGGUUCUGAAAUUACAAAAGGUUCUGAAAGUAAUGUUAUUAGUAAUGAAGUGAAGUUGCCAUUCAAUUGUUUCAUGUAACGUUAGCAGGCUAUUUGAUGUUUAUAUCUAUUUCUUAUUUAAUUAUUCUUUUGUUGUUCAGAAUAUGUGAUCUACAAAUUAUUCUUUUGUUGUUCAGAAUAUGUGAUCUACAAAUACAAAUGUACACACAGGCCAAGAUUUUGUUUUACUUUUAUUUAUUUUAUCUUGCAUGGCCUGCAGAAGUUUCUGUGUUUGUUCUACAACAAAGUAUUGGCGAAAUCUACAGCAUUGCGCAUUUGCACAUUUGUUCUCUAACAAAAGUUGGGAAAAUGCAUGCUUGGUGCUUAAACUGUUAUGAAACAUGAAAAAAGUUGAUCUCUUCUGGGUUUGUCCUAUAAUAAAGUUUAGGCUACUUUGCAAAUAAA